rnacentral:rRNA from 1 species
UGGGUUUGAUUCUGACCCAGAAUGAACGCUAGAAACACAUAUAACACAUGUGAGUUGAACGUAAAUUUUAAUAAAUUUAAGUGGCGUACUGGUGAGCAAUAUUUAAGAGCUACCUUAUAGGCCGGUUAAUUUCCGGAUAUUACAUAAAAAAAUAUUGCUAUAAGAGGUACUUAAACAAGAUUAAGUAGUUGGUGAGGUAACAGCUCACCAAGCUGGGAAUCUUUAGCUGGUUUGGGAGAAUUUACAGCCACAUUGGGACUGAAAGCGGCCCAACCUUUGGCAGCAGUGUAGAAUUUUUGACAAUGGGCGAAAGCCUGAUCGAGUGAUGUUUUGUGAGGGAAUUUUGUAUGGGAAAUCAUUACAACUGAAGGUCCGGCUGACUGUAAACCUAUUUCGCUAAUGAACAUAAUGACAUAUAAUUAGAAAAGAAGUCCCGUAAAACUUCGUGCCAGCAUACGCGGUAAUACGAAGGGGGCGAGCGUUAUUCGGAAUUGCUGCGUGUAAAAGGUACGUAGACGGUACAUGUCUAUCAAAUAUGAAAGGCUUGAAAUAAUUUUAAGAUAGAUAUUUGAAAAUGAUAUUUAAUAGUACAAAGUUAUAUAUUUGUAUUAUUAAUUACUUGAAUUAAUUAGAAGUAGGCAGAAUUUUUAAGGGAAAAGUAGAAUUUGUAGAUCUUAAAAAGAAUAUCAAUUGUGAAGACAGCAUUCUAUAGUUAAUUGACGUUGAGGUACGAAAGUAUGAGUAUCAAACAGGAAUAGAUACCCUGGUAGUUCAUACUGUAAACGAUAAACAUUAAAUAUUAAGAAAACCUUAGUAUUAUAGCUAACGCGUUAAAUGUUUUACGGGGGGACUACAUUCGCAAGAAUGAAACUUUAGGGAAUUGGCGGGGACUUUUUACAAGCAGUGGAGCACGUUAUUUAAUUAGAUACACCACUAAAAAUCUUACCAAAUCUUAUAUAAUACUAUUUAUGAACAUUAAUUUGUUUGAAAGGCAUUAAUGUUUUUUUUAUAAAAUAUUGCAUUAUUUUAUAUUUUUUUUUAGUAUUUCGGUGAUGCAUGGCUAUCGUCAGUUCGUGUCGUGAGAUUUUGGUUAAUUCCAUAUAACGAGCGCAACCCUCAUUUUUAAUUAUUAUUGUAUAAUAACAAUAGAAUUUAAAAAAACAGCAAUAUAAUAGAUUGAGGAAGGUGGGGAUUAUGCUAAGUCAAUAUGUCCCUCAUGAUUUGGGCAAUAACUAUGCUACAAGAGAAUUUAUAAAGAGUAACAAUGGUAAUAUUACCGGUGUAAAUCUAUAAAAAAUUCUAAAGUUCAGAUUAUCUUCUGAAAUUCGAAGAUAUGAAGGCGGAAUUGCUAGUAAUCGUAAAUCAUCAUGUUACGGUGAAACGUACUUUAGUUUUGUACACACCGCCCGUCACGGCCCGAAAGCUUGUUUGCUUAAAGUAAGAUGAACUAUAGUAUUACUGCGUUAUACUAAUUCUGGCCCGCUGGAA